rnacentral:lncRNA from 1 species
ACAUAAUGAUGCAAAAAUCUUUGCUUUUAAUAUGAUAGAGAGAUGAAAGACAUAGAGAGAGAAAACUUAAAUCAAUAAUCAAAAUAAACAAUUGCAUUAAUUCACUUAACCUCAGAAUCCAUAAUGAAAUUACAGCAGAAUAGCCCUAGGAGCUUAGAUCUCCAUGAAUGGAGUGAAACACAUAAAGAAAAGUGAAAGGAGUGGUGGAUCAAUGAAUGAAUGAAGCUCCCCCUUUUCUGCCUCCCCUGGGUCUCUUUAUAUAGACUUGAUUGGGCUUGGACUCUGAAUAUUCAGUUGAUAAAAUUUUUUAUCUUAUAUCUUCCAAAUAACUAAAAGAUUUAGAUAAUUAUAAUAUUAUUUGAAAGAUAUUUUCUGUUGAUAUUCCCAAAUUGAAUUAAUUCAAUAACUAAAUUUUAUCUUUAAGCUUUUCUGAAUUUCCAAAAUUACACAAAUGCUCCAAAAUUUCCACUAUCUACACUUUAGCCCCUCCUUUCUUUUUAAAAUUGCAGAAAAUCCCUUAGUUGACCAGACUUUGACCAUAGAAGGCCUGUUUGACCAACUUUGACCAGACUUUAACAAUGGGAACUUGACAUGUGUCAGACCCUUCUCUACCCAAAAUUAGGGUUUUGCAGAUUAGGGAAUUCUCGCACCAGGAAUUCGAAUUAGAAGAGGGCUUUCCCCAUGCCACCGUUCCUUGCUUCCUUCGCAAAUUGGCUCGCCCAUGGUCUUGGCGUUGUGGUUUGAAUGCAAUUGAUUGUGCGUCUGGUUUUCUUUGAUUCAGGUGGAGACGGAAAAACGAUGAUGAAGGAGAAUGAAGGUCGCGACACGGUGUCUUGCGGGAUGAAGAUGGUUGUUGUAGAUGAGUGGCGGUUGCGUCCUGUUUCUUGGUUUUCUGAGUGCAGAUCUAUGUUGAUGGUGGUGCGACAAUCCUUAUGGUGGUGGCCCCUUGAUGAAGAAGAAGGAAGGUGAUGAACGACGUGGUGGUCCGGCGAGAUGUGAAACCGUGAUGUAGGGAGCGGCUGUUUCGGUAAUUGGCCGCCAUGGCGUCUUGCGGCAUUGUGUUGACAAAUUGGCAAGCGUACCAAAUCGUACAAGUAAUAUAAAUGGUAAGACCAAGUAUCGUUUUCCCAACAGACUCGAAAGACUUUCUCGUUCACGUGAAUUAAAAUAAUAAGAUUUGAAAAUAAAAAUUAAUAAAUUGAAUUUGAGAACAAAAAUAUUAACAUGCAAAAUAAAGUUGAUUCAAUUGACAAAAGAAAAAAAUGGAUGAAUGGAUGUUGUUGGGGGUUUACAAUUUCAUCUAAUCCGCUCUCUCUUAAAUACUACCUUUGAAUAUUAGUUUGAUUAAUUCAAUUGUUAUGCGACUUUCUUAGCCUCCCCUUAACCUGAUCCCUCGGCGAAAAGGGCCUAAUAUUAACUACUGGCUUGCUAUCCCUAGCCUCCCCUAGUAAUUAAUACCGCAUUAUAAACAGAAGUUAACGCAAUUGAUCGUCCUACCCCUAUCCCUAGGUGAUAUUGCAAAAUCAAGAGAUUACACACCAGUUCAUGUCAUUACUUUACGUCCCCAUAUCAAUAAAGACAAACAUCAAU